rnacentral:sRNA from 1 species
AUGUUCCUUCUUCUGGUGCUUCUCACUGGACUUGGUGGGAUGCAUGCAGACCUCAAUCCUCAUAAAAUCUUCCUGCAGACCACAAUUCCAGAGAAGAUUUCAUCAUCGGAUGCAAACACAGAUCCAGAACAUAAUGUUGUUUACAUGAUUACAAUAGAAGAAAAGCCAUAUUUUGUCCAUCUCAAAAAGCAAUCAAUUUUAUCUUCAGCUUCUGUUAUUAAUUCUUAUGACAAAAAUGACAUCUGUCAUUCCAAACCUCUGCUAGUUCAGAUGGAUUGCAAUUAUAAUGGAUAUGUUGCGGGUAUUCCAAAUUCUCUUGUGACUCUCAGCAUAUGUUCAGGACUCAGGGGAACAAUGCAGCUGAAAAACAUCUCAUAUGCAAUUGAACCAAUGGAGGCUGUAUCAGGAUUUAUACACAAGAUUUAUGAAGAAAAAUAUGCUGACACUAAUAUUCUCUUAGAAGACAAUGACACUUAUACUUGGUUUAAUUCAGAGUAUCAAGUCAGAAAAAGUUCAGAAUUCAAACCGGUUAAUACGAUUUGUAGGAAAUCAGCUGAUAAAGAAUGUGAUUUCACUGAAUAUUGCAAUGGGGACCUUCCAUACUGUUUGCCUGACACUUAUGUACGUGAUGGAGAAUAUUGUGAUUCAGGUGGAGCCUUCUGUUUUCAAGGAAAGUGUCGGACUUUUGACAAACAAUGUGAUGAUUUAAUCGGAAGAGGUUCAAGAGGUGCUCCGAUUUUCUGUUAUGAUGAAAUUAAUACCAGAGGAGACAAUUUUGGAAACUGUGGCACUGCAUAUUGUCUUUUUCAACAUAUUCUAUGUGGAAAAUUAGUCUGUACAUGGGAACACAGAGACUUAAUAUCACGUCCAAAUUUAUCUGUGAUUUAUGCACAUGUACGAGACCAAACAUGUGUGUCUACAUACCUACCCAGGAAGACGCCACCUCCAGUAAAUAUACCUAUUGCAAUCACAUCAUAUUAUGCAGGUGAAGACAGAGAUGAAACAUUUGUACAAGAUGGUUCCAUGUGUGGUCCUGAUAUGUAUUGUUUCAAAAUGCGUUGUAAAGAUGUUAGAUUCCUGAUGAAUUUAAGAUUGUGUGAUGCUUCUAAUCAUUGUGGUGGUCAUGGAGUUUGCAACAAUUUUAACCAUUGCCAUUGUGAAAAGGGAUAUAAUCCUCCUUACUGCCAACCAAAGCAAGGAGCAUUUGGAAGUACUGAUGAUGGACACUUAGUACCACCAACUGAGAAAAGUUACAUGGAGGAGGGAAGACAGGCCACUUUCCAAAAACAACGGUUUCAAUUCAUUUUCUACAUUUCUCUACCUGUGCUUCUUAUUACUACUGCCAUUUUAAUAAAACGGAAAAAAUUGAGAGAGCUAUGCUAUAGAGGGGAAACUGAAAGUGAGAGCUCUGUGUCAGAAGAAAGCAGCAGUAACAGCAAGUCAUCCCUCAGUGAAAGCACCGGUCUCUAA